GACGAACGCUGGCGGCGUGCCUAACACAUGCAAGUCGAGCGAAUGAAGUUCCUUCGAGAAUGGAUUUAGCGGCGGACGGGUGAGUAACACGUGGGCAACCUGCCUCAUAGAGGGGAAUAGCCUUCCGAAAGGGAGAUUAAUACCGCAUAAGAUUGUAGUACCGCAUGAUACAGCAAUUAAAGGAGCAAUCCGCUAUGAGAUGGGCCCGCGGCGCAUUAGCUAGUUGGUGAGGUAACGGCUCACCAAGGCGACGAUGCGUAGCCGACCUGAGAGGGUGAUCGGCCACAUUGGGACUGAGACACGGCCCAGACUCCUACGUGAGGCAGCAGUGGGGAAUAUUGCACAAUGGGGGAAACCCUGAUGCAGCAACGCCGCGUGAGUGAUGACGGCCUUCGGGUUGUAAAGCUCUGUCUUCAGGGACGAUAAUGACGGUACCUGAGGAGGAAGCCACGGCUAACUACGUGCCAGCAGCCGCCGCCG
rnacentral:rRNA from 1 species